rnacentral:rRNA from 1 species
UACGUAGGGGGCAAGCGUUGUCCGGAUUUAUUGGGCGUAAAGAGCGUGUAGGCGGCUUUACAGGUCCGUUGUGAAAACUCGAGGCUCAACCUCGAGACGUCGGUGGAAACCACCUGGCUAGAGUCCGGAAGAGGAGAGUGGAAUUCCUGGUGUAGCGGUGAAAUGCGCAGAUAUCAGGAAGAAUAUCCGUGGCGAAGGCGGCUCUCUGGUACGGCACUGACGCUGAGACGCGAAAGCGUGGGGAGCGAACAGG